CCCGCUGAACUUAAGCAUAUCAGUAAGUGGAGGAAAAGAAACUAACAAGGAUUCCCUCAGUAACGGCGAGUGAAGCGGGAUGAGCUCAUAAUUUUAAUCCAUUUUUUGGAAUUGUAAUUUGAAAGAGAGGGGUUUGUGUUGAAGGGUGGUUCAAGUCUCUUGGAAUAGAAUACUAGAAAGGGUGAGAGUCCCGUGGGACCACUCUAGUCCACAAUUGAUCCCUCUCUAAAGAGUCGGGUUGCUUGGGAAUGCAGCUCAAAGAGGGUGGUAAAUUUCAUCUAAAGCUAAAUACGGGCGAGAGACCGAUAGCGAACAAGUACCGUGAGGGAAAGAUGAAAAGGACUUUGAAAAGAGAGUUAAAAGUGUGUGAAAUUGUUACUAUGGAAACGAAUGAUAUUAGUAGAGAGGAAGUGUGGUAAUUCUGGCAGGCGUUAGCCUGACAGUGUUGAACCUUCUUCAAGUCAGUGUGUGUUUUUGGUGUUGGAUAAAGGUAACUGGAGGUGGGGUAAUCAACUCUUUAUAACGGUUACUGUAACAAUGUUGGAGACAUGGAAGAAGUAUUGUUAUCAUUGACAAAAUAAUAUCAUACGACCCGUCUUGAAACACGG
rnacentral:rRNA from 1 species